GACAUCGCUGUAUAAUUCAGACAGUGGAGGCGCGUGGCUUAGUGGUUAGGGUGUCAGCAUCAUGAUCGUAAGACUGUGGUUUCGAUUCCUGGACCGGGCGACGCGUUGUGUUCUUGAGCAAAACACUUCAUUUCACGUUGCUCCAGUCCACUCAGCUGGCAAAAAGGAGUAACACUGCGAUGGACUGGUGUCCCGUCCAGCUGGGGAACACAUACGCCAUUGAAACCGGGAAACCGGGCCCAUAAGCCUGGCUAGGCUUUAAAAGGGUGCUUUUAUUUUGUGGAAGCGCAAUGGCCCAGUGGUUAGGGCAGCGGAUUCACGGUCAGAUGACCGCGGUUUCGAUUCCCAGAUCGGGCGUUGAGAGCGUUUAUUGAGUGAAAACACCUAAGUUCCACGAGGCUCCGGCAGGGGGUGGUGGAGACCCCUGUUGUACUCUUUCGCCCCAACUUUCUCUCACUGUUUCUUCCUGUUUCAUAUGUAUAUGUAUAUAUGUAUAUAUAUAUAUAUAUAUAUAUAUACACAUGUAUGUAUAUAUAUAUGUAUAUAUAUAUGUAUGUAUAUAUAUGUAUGUGUAUAUAUGUAUAUAUUCAUAUGUAUAUUUACGUAUAUGUGCAUAUAUGUGUAUAUGUGUGUGUUUGUGUAAAUACACUCACACACACACAAACACACACACAUAUUGUUGUAUCUUAGGAAAUUUAUUCUGCUUUAAUGCCUUAUUAAUUAGCACAUACACCGGUUCGAUUUCCACCCAUUGACAUUUUUUUAAAUUUCUGAUACCUCGUCAAUAGGUAUUGACUCUGUCACAUAUAUUUGUACACACACACUCACACACACACACAUACAUACAUACAUACAUACAUAUAUAUUUAUAUGAGUGAGAUAGAGAGAUAAAGAGAGAGAGAGAGAGAGAGAGAGAGAGAGAGAGAGAGAGAGAGAGAGAUGUUCAUAGGCAAACAUGUAAAAGUAAAACUAUGUUAAAAUUUUUCUUUUCUCUUUUUUAUUCAGCUGAAUUAGAAAAAACUUUCAUGAACAAAUUUAAAGGUUUAUUUAUCAAAAGCAAAUCACGUAAAAGAAAAGAUAGUAGAAAAUCUGUACGGGUCCGGAAAGCACAGAUGCAGACGUGUAGCAACAUACCUCUUGUUCCAAAUAAAAUGAACUAAUUACUGUGAUACUUAUAUUCAUCGUUUCGGAUGAAUUAACCAACCAGAGCUUUCAUCACCAACUAUCUUCAUCAACACCGGAGAGAGCUUCAACAUGUUUGUGCCUUCUGCAAGAAAGAGUUGUCAAAUUCCUAACACUUUCAUUGCAUUCUACCGUCUCAAAAAUGUAGAAGUAGUCUUAAACAGACCUAAUAUGUAAGAGCAGUCAAGGUUUAAAGACGUUUGUCGCUUAAGGUUUUUCCUUGCUAAACAAAGAACAUUACCACGCUGCCUCCACCAUCACCAACAGCACCAUCACCACCACGUCCACUAACACCAUCACCACCACCAACACCAUCACCACUACCACUACUAUCACCAUCAAACACCAUCAGCAAUAGCGAGUCAACGGGGGUGUCUUUACGUGGUCCCCUGAUCUUCAAGAAAUAGCAGCGAAGCUUUUUUGUCGAGGACAGGGCAAAAAGCUAACAAAACGUGCCACGAAACAUUAAAUGUCUAUCCCCAGAGAAAGCAAAUAGGGUAUUUGAAAAGGAGAGGGUGUCAUUUCCCGGGACAGGAAUUUCACGGUGGUGGUGAAGCAUCGAUGAUUUGUUGAUGUAAAUGAUGGAUAACUGAAAUAAAAUAAUGAAGACUAGUGCAAAUUGGCGGGACGGGAAAAAGGACAGAAGGGUUCAAAAUACAUUCGGGUGACAAACUAUUUGUGAAAAAAAAAAAAAAAAAAAACUCGUUAACACACUAGUAAACUUGUUCCGGUCAAUGCAAAAAAAAGUGCUCGCUGGUAAUCUUGGUUGCAUCAAAUCCUAGUUUGAAGGGAAACGAAGCGGUAGCUCGUCACCCGCGUUAGGCUCCCUUAAUAUGUAUUUUAAUUAUUCCGUUUAUAGUUGUAUAUAAUGUAUAUUGUAUAUAUAUAUGUGUGUGUGCUCGCGCGUGUGUGUACGUGUGUAUGUGCUCAUAUAUAUAUGUAAAUAGAAAGGAGUAUAUACGUAUAUAUAUAUAUAUACAUAUAUAUAUAUGUAGGUAUGUUUCUAUAUAUUUAUAUAUGUUUCUAUGUAUAUAUACCUUCAUUUCGCGGUGGUUUACAGUUUUAAAAGUUUUUAUAAUACAAUGUAUUUACUAUUUUUCUCUGUUAAAUAAUUUUUUCACAACUUUUUAAAACAUUUGCAUAUACGAUUUAUAUUUUUCGUGAAUAAAAUAAAUUAUUAUUAUUA